UUAAGCAUCACAUGUUCAGUUCCAAUGCACAGAGAAACUAGUGUCAUCUUUGGAGAGAUCCAGAGAUUAAAAAAAAUAGCAAUUAUGCUGUCCUUUAAUGAUAUGCCCUUUAAAAGACUAAGCAGAAGUCAUGUCAAGUGAAAGCUCGCUCAAGUUCCGAUAAUGCCUUUGGAAGUGUCUCAGAGCUUGACUUGAUUUGAGGUAUUCCAUUCUGGAAGUGAUAAGCUAAUUUGUGCAGAUGUUAAAUGGCCCCCUAUUGAGCCGAAGUUGGAGAGGAGUGUUUUAUUUUCUUCUUUCAAUUCUCACAAGCAUUAUGGAGAUCUAUCAUCACAUUAGAAGACAUCUCUGAUAUUCAAUGACGGAUCAAACUGGCCCAAGUUGGUCUUUGGCAUCCUUACCAGACCCCACGAGGUGAGAAUUGGCACAAGCAAAUAUAUACUGUCCUCUGAGGGUGCCAAAAGAGGAUAAUGAGAUGGACCAGCAGAAGUCUGGAGUACAGCCUGCUAGGAUUCUGGAGGACACCAAACAAAAGAUAAGAAAACAUUUCAGGCAUGGGGAAAGGUUACUGCAAGAGGAU